rnacentral:lncRNA from 1 species
AAAAUAAGAUGUCAUCCGAAUAUAACAUCAUUGACAUAAAUUAUUAAUUUCCAUUAUAUUUUCUGUAUUUUAAUGCAAAUUACUGAACAAGUUGAAUAUUGGCUUAAUAAGUAUUUGUGAAUAAUUAUAUUUUUAUAAAAUCUUUCAAUUUUUUCAACUUUUCUUCUACCCCUUCUCAUAUAUAUAUGAAUGAGCUUCUAAAGACCAAGAACAUUAUAUAUAUAUCCAAAAUGAGAUGUGAGGUGGCAAGUAUCAAAAAUUUUUCUGAAAUUCACAUUAGUGUUUAUGUAACGAGAUUAUCAGAACUAUUGUUUUUAGAAAAUCAAACAGAACAUAACAGAUAUUUGGCACAGUACUAGAUAACCCUAAAAUAAGGGAAAUACAAUGUUAUUAUUUUUACAAAUUCUUGGAUUUCAGCAGAGGCAUAUGACAGAGUUCAGAUCUAUUUUGAACAAAUUGUUAUUUCUUACUCUGUGUGUACAUGGCAUUAAGUUAUAAAAUUGCUCCUUUUAUAUCAGCUCCUGAGAGGAGUGUUCUACUUUAUUUAUACAAAGAAAUAGACAGAACACACAAAGUUUGUUACUGUGCAAUGCUUUUCUUUCCUUAAACAAAUCAUUAGCUCAGUAUGCCCCUUCUCCCAGGCUUCCCUGUUUAUUCUUCAGAUGAAUUAGGCAAACAAAAUGAGCUUGGUGAGUCUGUGCUUUGUUCUCUUGUCUGCAUGUCAAAGGGGUCCGUAUGGUUUGGAUUCCCAGUUACACCAGCAUUUCCAUUUGUUUUAAUUUAUAUGAAGUUCCAGUCAUUGGCCAGAUCCAGGUGCUACUAUAAGUUUAAUUCAGGCCAAGUACAGGGAAGAUGCUUAAGGAACAAGGUCAUGUUAUAAAGAUGAUGACUACUCAAUGCACACCUCUGUGCCCUUAUUGAUAAAAUUAAAUAAAUAACCUGUGGCAAUAUGAAACCACAUUAUUUUAGUUGGAGAAAGCAUUGGGAAAUAUGUGCAGAAAUGCUCAACAGAUCUCAUUGACUCUGCAAAUCCAUUCCCUGUGUAAUCCUCUAGCCUCAGGCUACUCAUAUCACUUUGGCUUGCUCUUCCUUUCUGAAGUGCCAUGUUGAGUUAUGGCUAUGAACACACUAGGCAUGUGAUCUGCCCUGUACUGUAGCCUUCAUUCGUCCCUCAAUCUUUCUGUGUUCUAUUUUGCCAUCCAAACUGCUCUUAGUUUGCCCCUUAUCUUAUAUUUGAGCAGAUGAUGGUGUAAAAAUAGAAUAGGUCUUUUCUGAUCCUUGGAGAGUAUUAUCUACCUGCAAUUUUAUUUUAAACCACUAGAUAAGCUAUAGUAAGUUCCACUGUAUACUAUAGUAACCAUUUUUCUUUGGUUCUUUGGGACUGGGUUUACUUUUUAUUUUCCCAUUUGUCUUAGGGAUUCUAUUCCUGCACAACAUCAUAACCAAGGAGCAGUUGGGCAGGAAAGGGUUUAUUCAGCUUACACUUCCAUACUGCUGUUCAUCACCAAAGGAAGUCAGGACUGGAACUCAAGCAGGUCAGGAACCAGGAGCUGAUGCAGAGGCAAAGGAGGGAUGUUACUUACUGGCUUGCUUCCCCUGGUUUGCUCAACUUGCUCUCUUAUAGACUAUCAGCCCAGAGUUGGUACCACCCACCAGUGGCCCUCCCCAUUGAUCACUAAUUGAGAAAAUGCCUUAUAGCUGGAUCUCAUGGAGGCAUUUCCCCAACUGAAGCUCCUUUCUCUGUGAUAACUCCAGCCUCUGUCAAGUUGACACACAAAACCACCCAGUACACCAUUAAUUAGUUCAUCAUAUAAUAAAAGCAUAUAUAUAUAUAUAUAUAUGUAAUAUUAAUAACCUGAUUUCAAGACCUGAUGUUUCAAUUGAAUAUUAUAUGAUUAUAUUUACUUGGUGCUGUUCUUCUUUGAAAAUACAGUUUUUGAAUGAAGUUUAUAAAUGUUGUAGCCUAAUAAGUUAAGGAAAUUUCAUUGGUGAUUGAAAUGAUGUAGGUAGAUGAAGGUAAUGGAACUGCAUAUGAACUACUUAAAAGUUACUUCAUAGAACGCUGCUGGUUUCAGUUAAAAUCUUUUGGUUGUACAAACUGUAGAAGUUACUUUGUGUCAUUGUUUUGUGGCGCUGAAGAAUAAACUCAAGAACUCACAUGUGUUGUCAGUGCACACUGACACUGAGAUCCAUACAUUGGUUUUAAGCAGACAAUUUCAUUUAAACCAUGAAGGUUCUUAUCUCUAUUGCUUGAUAAAUCUUUCGCUAAGACAUAAACAUCUUCAUAGCUGGCACAAGAGUUUGUGUUUUAUUUCUCUCUACUAUAGCCUUUCUCAAUAUUCACUUAAAGUAAAAAUUUCCUGACCUCUUCUUUUAAAGUAGUCCAGUGCAAAUUAUCUUUAUGGCAUUGCUAAGAUAUGUUCCCUCUGCAAUGUUUCUGUGAUUUGUGUCUUCCAUUUAACAUUAAAUUUUACUUCACUAUUUAUAGCUAUGUUAUUUCAUGCUCCAAUACUAUUUUCCUUCAUUUAUGAAAUAUAUGCUCAUACUCGCCCUUGGUAUUGAAUACAUUUGCUUCAUACCUAAGGCCAUUUUAUUUUUACCAAUUAAUGAGGUUUCACAAAUAAAUCAUUAUUACAUUAUGAAAACAGAAGCUAUCCUUAUCUCUAAGACUUAAAGAAUAGGAGGAUUAUUUUUUUAAUCUCUGAACAUAUAAAAAUAUCCUAAAGCCAGGGUUCUACAUUUAUUUGGGGAGAUCUUCAGAAUGUUGUUUCCUGAGAUAUAGUCCAGAUUUAUUUAGUAAAAGGUGUCUAAUCAUAAAUAAAUUGAAACAUGGAUGUUUUUGUUCCUAUGAAUAUAUCAUUAAAAUUCCAUUGUGAAUGUUUUUUGGGCUAUUCUAACAAAGUUGCAUUAAUAAGAGGUAGGGUUUCAGGCUAACAAUAGAAAAAUGUACAAUCAGAGAUUAAGGUAGUAAAUAUUUUUUUAAUGGAAGACAAGCUGUAAACUGUUCUCUGUUUCAUGAAAUUAUAUAUUUCACAAAUAACAAUGAUACUAUAUUAAAGAAUCUAACUUAGCGGUGUGCCAUUAAAUUGUGUCUAGACUUUCAGUUUGAUGACCAAGUCUGAUGUCCAUGAUUAAUUUUUGGCAGACUUUAAAUCUACAAGACAGACAAAAUUAUUUAGAACAAAUAGACUGAAUUAUAGAAGUCAAAAUGGCAAGAUAGAGCUUUCAGUUCAUCUUUCUUCACCAAACAAUUAUGGAAGUUGCCAUGAUCAGACAAUGUAUCAAUAGGAAUGAUAAGUUGUGGCUUUCUAGUAGCAUCUGACCUAAUUACAGAGACCCGCAUUUAAGGAGAAAGUAAAUGCAAAAUUAAGUAACAGAGACAUAAUAUAUAAACUGUCCCUUGUCUGUGUUGCCUUUUGUUAUAUUUUAUCACAGCAACAGAAAUGAAACCAGAAUAGAAAUUAGCACCAGAAACAUUGGUUUGUUAUGAUGAACCUGAUGGUGUUAGGUUAGGAGGAAAGAAACCAAAAAUUCUGCAGUUUCGGGGCAGAAAGGCCAUUAAAUCCUGUGAUCAAAGCUUAAAGGGUCACUGUAGUGGAAUCUUUGAGGUCAAACAUGCUGAGAGAAAUGAGGACUGCGGCUGACUAUCUCAUGAGGCUUUAUUGGCCACAAGAGCUUUAUUAGGAAUUUUACCAGGGGCCACUCACAUGUUUGGCUUAGAAUGUGCGUGUACUGAUUGUACUGUGGCUAAAUAAUCAGAUAAAUUUAAUAAAGAAUUAUUGCCAUUGAAGAGACCGCAUUUUGCAUUGGCUUCGGUGUGAUUGCCUUAUCCCUCAGUUAUGUCCCUCAGAUGCAACCAUAUUUAAUUAGUUUUGUUGUUGUUAAUUUUACACAAGCACAGACUUAAGAAAUUUCAAACAUUUAAAUAGAAUUUAAACUCUUCAGGAUUGGAAUUUUUGGAGACGUGGGUUCUUCUUGGAGUUAGAGAAUGCUUUACAUUUUGGCAUUAAGAUGACUUGAGACUUUGGGGAAAAAUAGGUGCAAAAUUACAGAUCAAUGUGACAUGUUUGUGUGUGAAGUGGACAGGGCUGUUUGUGUGGAUGAUCUGUAUUUCUUAGUUUUAACAGCCAACUUGACAGGACCUUAAAUAAGUAGAGACUAUCUAGGUCAGGUUAGCCUGUUGGUAUGUCUUCAGGGGAUUGUCUUAAUUGUUAAUUUAUAUAAGAGGACUCACUCUAAAUGUGAGUGUCACCAUUUCAUGAGUUUGGCCCUGAACUGUAUUAUAGUGGAGUGGGCGAUCUACAUAGGGAAAUAAGCUGAAGCGCUGAAAAAUUCAUUUCUUUCUGCUCUUGACUGUGGAUGUGAUAUGACCAGCUGUCUC